rnacentral:tRNA from 2 species
GGAGCGGUGUCCGAGCGGCCGAAGGAUGCGGUCUUGAAAACCGUUGUGCGCUAUGCGCACCGUGGGUUCGAAUCCCACCCGCUCCG